ensembl:lncRNA
GGUGGGAGAGGCGGGGUGUGGGAUGAACGCCCUUCGGCCCAGCCUCUGCUCCUCCCGUCUUCAAGGGAAGGUACACAGAUGCCAUUUCCUGACCUUGCUCUUCCUUCUUCUCGGCUUCCCAAGCACCCUCCUCCUUUAGCCACUCCCUUCCUGUCUCCGCGUCCUUGGAACCCAGCCCAGGGGCCCGUCCCCCUUGCAGAGUCACUUGCUCUUCGUCCCCAGGGCUCCUGCCGUCCAAGCUACCUGGUCUCGGUGACUCCCAAAGGACUCCCAGCGAGCGCUCCUCUCCAGCUCUCGCAGUCAGUUCAGACGGAAGUCAUGGGGAAGAAGAGAAACAUUUGCCUACUUGCCCCAUAGUGUACUGCUCCUGCACACAAAGUUGUGAGUGCUACGUGUUAUUACACGCAUGUGCUGCAUAACGACGUUUCGGUCAACGAAGGACCUUAUGUACGAUGGUAGUCCCUUAAGAUUAGCACCAUAUGGCCUAGGUGUGUAGUGGGCUAUACCAUCUAGGUGUGUGUAAGUACACCCUAUGGUGUUCGCACAACAAUGAAAUCGCCUAAUGACACAGUUCUCAGAACAUAUUCCCAUCGUUAAGCCAUGCGUGACUGUAUUCAGAGUUGUAUUAGCAACUCUCUCUGUCCCUCUCGCCAGUUUGCCACCCACCCUACCCCAGGCCAGUCAUACUGGAUUUGGGGUGGCUGACCCCUUAAUCACACAAAGAUCUGGGAGAGGCUUUGCCAUCGCCAGAUGCAAGAGCCUGUGUUCCCCUUCAAGGCGCCUUCCUCCCCCCUCCUCCUCCCUAGAGGACGGGAGUGGGGUGGGGGACGCCUUCCAAGUUUUCCUCAAUGAGUUUUUAUUACAUUUAUAACCAGAAAAAAUAUUAAAUAAUGUUCUUUGUCAGUGCUCUAGGUCAGUGCUUCUCAAACGUGAGCGUGCUGCGCCUGCCUGUCACCUGGGGAGCUUGUUAAAAUGCGGGUUGUGAUUCGGUAGGUCUGGGGUGGGACAGGAUUCUGCACUUCCACACGCUCCCGGGUGAUGCGAUGCUACUGGCCCAUACCAAGCUUCGAAGAGCAAAGUGAUGGGGGACAAGUGGAGACGGGGUGCACCCUGUGACCUGCCUCGUUGCUCUUCACCGCCCUCACAACCCCAUGUUUCAUAGGUCUUCACAUUUCGCUGAACAUUUAGUGUAACGGUGAUGAAGUUGGAAGAAGGCGGCAUCUACGUAGGCAUCUGGACUAACCACGGCACUUUGGAGGCUGGUUCUUUAGAGAACACAUUCCAAGGUUUGAGCUCCCUUACGCCCCAAGUAGACAGAACAAGUUGAACUCACGGAAAGGGACUUAGAUGAGAGUCAAGAGGCCAGGACUUUAGCCCCAGUUACGCCAGUGACUCAGUUUCCCCCAAUGUAGUUGCUGGGGUUGAGGAUAAAUUGUUGGUAAAGAUAGUGAUUUUCACGAUCCUGUGAAAGGAUUAUCUUGGAGUUAGGGAGCACUCAGUCACCGAGUCCUCCCUGGAGGCUGGAGGGCAGCUUACUGGGAAUGUCAUAAAGGGGAUUUGAGCAUCAGAGGGAAAGGCGGCUAAGAGACCUACAAUAUCCUCAUCAUAAUGAGUUUCAACCGGCCUUCGCUUUCCAGCUCCAUCUACAAAUAAAAAGUCUGUAUUACGUCUUGUUGGAAAGAAGAGCAGGAAGGCACUGAAGCUACCUCCGUGCACUAUUUGUUUCCUUAUUCAAAACUGCAGAAUUGAGCAGUGCUGGGGUGGAAAGAACACUGACAGGCCUCCAGUCCCACCUGCUCGUGUGAGGCGCUCUGUGGAGCUCCGGAGCUGCGGGGAGAGAGGACUCCCAAGUCCGAGGGGGCCAGGGCUUUUGUGACGUGUCCUGCAGUCUCCCGGAGAGAUGGCUGUGCUUAUCUGGCCUCCAAACAAACCCUUCCAGGGACCGGGGACAACUCCCAGGCAGUGCUUCGUGACUGGCUAUAAUCUGUGGCCACUCCAGCUUUCUCAUUCUCCUUCCAACACAUCAAGCUUUGUCACACCUCAGAGCCGGCGCACUUACUGCUUCAUCAGACUGGGAUGCUUUCUUCAAGAGGUUUGUAUGGUUGGGUGCUGAGUGCUUAUUAACACUCAGUCACCUGGUCAAAUAUCCCCUCCUUAUCUGAACUAGCCACCUGCUGUCAUUCUCUACCCCUUUAGCCUGUUUUAUGUUCUCCAUAGCACUAUUUCUAUCAGAAAGUAUAUCAUUUACUAAUUUGUUUCCUUGUGUUUUAUCUGUGUUCCCUACUAAGCUGUCACCCCACGAGAAUGGGGCCAUCGUCUGCCGGGUGCUGCUGCCCCUCACAGAGGAGAUGCUCAGGAAAAGCUUAUUGAAUGGAUGAGUGGUUUUGUUUUUUGAUUGGUUUUUGCAGACAAGGGGCAUGGGAGACAGAAUUUGUUCCUUUAGGUUUGAAAUAUGUUUCAGCUUUGUCUUCUUCACUACAGGCUCGUCGGUUUGCACAGGAUUCUCAUAUUUAAGUGCAGAUCCCUGCAAGUGCACAAUGGGGGUAAUAAAGGCACCCAUCUCCUGGAGUUUUUAAGGGCACUAAAUGAGAAAUAUGCACAAGGUGCUUCUCACCGUGCCAGGCAGCUGUUUCCGGGAUGCUGUGCGAACUUGAUCUCAGAACCAGCAGCAGAAACACUGGUCUCGUCCGUCCCCUAAGAAAUGAGAAGACUUCCUUCAGGAGUUUGAACUGCUUCUAAGCUUUAACAAUCCUUAUUCUCCUCAAGGCAAUGACCCUCUGGCUGAAAAGGACAAAUUUGAUGUACAAGUGGGAAAAAAGAAAAGCACAUCAAAAUGCUUCAAAACGUUAUCUUGACAUAUUAACUUUCAUAUUAAUUCAAUAACAAGCAACAGUAAAAUAAAUCUUUUAUACAGCUGUUUUGGGAUGCCAAAAAGGCCUCAUAAAUAGGUGGCAUUAUGUAGUACGGUGACCAGAACAAGGAAGGCCAUCUGCCAGUUUUCCAUUGUUCUGUGGCCGGGUUUUGGUUUCACAUUGCACUCGGGUUAUUUAUAAGCUUGAGCUUGUUCAGGUGCAGACGAAGAACAGAGGGGUACUAUAUUGGUCUGUUUGGGCUCCAAUAACAAAAAUACCACUGACUGAGUGGCUUAAAGAACAAAUAUUUUAUUUCCCAGAGCUCUAGAAGCUGGGAAGUCCAAGAUCAAGAGCCGGCAGGUUCGGUGUCUGGUGACUGCCAGCUUCCGGCCUCACAGCCUGCCAUCUUCUUGCUGCGUCCUCACCUGGUGGAAGGCGCAAGGGAGCUCGCUGGGGUCUCUUUUACGAGGGCACUAAUCCCGUUCAUGAGGGCUUCACUCUUAUCUUAGUCAUCUUAUCUUAUCUUAUCACUUAGUCACCUCCCAGAGGUCCCCCCUCCAAAUGCCAUCCCAUUAGAGGUUAGGAUUUGAACAUACAAAUUCCAGGGGGACACAUUCAGUCAUGCAGGUACUGACACCGCAACAGAUGUGGAAUGGGUGAAGAAGCUGUAUGUUUUAGCCUUAAAAAAAAAAACAAAAAAACCUCAGGAGAACAUAUCAGUUGACUUCAAAUAUCUAAAGGUUGUCCUUUCUUAAUAUUUUAAAUAAUACUAACGUGUUUUAGUUUAUAGCACCUCCUGUCCAUUUUGGAUAAGGAUGGGCAGAUAAUACAUUUCCAAACAAACGCGUAUAGUUCGAUUGUUU